GGAUAACUUCGGGAAACCGGAGCUAAUACCGGAUAAUAUUUUGAACCGCAUGGUUCAAAAGUGAAAGACGGUCUUGCUGUCACUUAUAGAUGGAUCCGCGCUGCAUUAGCUAGUUGGUAAGGUAACGGCUUACCAAGGCAACGAUGCAUAGCCGACCUGAGAGGGUGAUCGGCCACACUGGAACUGAGACACGGUCCAG
rnacentral:rRNA from 1 species